AGUGAACGCUGGCGGUAGGCUUAACACAUGCAAGUCGAACGGCAGCACAGUAAGAGCUUGCUCUUACGGGUGGCGAGUGGCGGACGGGUGAGGAAUACAUCGGACUCUACUUUUUCGUGGGGGUUAACGUAGGGAAACUUACGCUCAUACCGCAUACGACCUACGGGUGAAAGCAGGGGAUCUUCGGACCUUGCGCGAUUGAAUGAGCCGAUGUCGGAUUAGCUAGUUGGCGGGGUAAAGGCCCACCAAGGCGACGAUCCGUAGCUGGUGUGAGAGGAUGAUCAGCCACACUGGAACUGAGACACGGUCAAGGCUCCUACGGGAGGCAGCAGUGGGGAAUAUUGGACAAUGGGGGCAAACCUGAUCCAGCCAUACCGCGUGGGUGAAGAAGGCCUUCGGGUUGUAAAGCCCUUUUGUUGGGAAAGAAAAGCAGCAGGUUAAUACCCCGCUGUUCUGACGGUACCCAAAGAAUAAGCACCGGCUAACUUCGUG
rnacentral:rRNA from 1 species